rnacentral:miRNA from 1 species
UUAGGUUGGUGCAAAAGUAAUUGCAGUUUUUGUCAUUACUUUUACAUGGUAAAACUGCAAUUACUUUUGCACCAACCUAAUAGUUA